UUGGCAUGGUCAUUGCAAAUUUUGCUUCUCACCAUCUCCAUUGUUGUUUUUCUUCAUCUACCAAAUUCGCAAUUACUAACAAAAGAAGACAGCCAGUUAUUGAAAAUGAGGAAUUUCUUUCGUUUUGCGCCAAAUUUUGAGAGUUUCGAGUCAGAUCGCAACCCUCUUGACGAGACGAUAUUAGGAUUGUUCUUGAACAAAGACGACUUUGGAGCUGAG
rnacentral:lncRNA from 1 species